rnacentral:rRNA from 1 species
GUAGGGAAUCUUCCGCAAUGGACGCAAGUCUGACGGAGCAACGCCGCGUGAGUGACGAAGGUUUUCGGAUCGUAAAACUCUGUUGUGAGGGAAGAACACGUACCAACUAACUAUUGGUACCUUGACGGUACCUCACCAGAAAGCCACGGCUAACUACGUGCCAGCAGCCGCGGUAAUACGUAGGUGGCAAGCGUUGUCCGGAAUUAUUGGGCGUAAAGCGCGCGCAGGCGGUUCCUUAAGUCUGAUGUGAAAGCCCACGGCUCAACCGUGGAGGGUCAUUGGAAACUGGGGAACUUGAGUGCAGAAGAGGAAAGUGGAAUUCCACGUGUAGCGGUGAAAUGCGUAGAGAUGUGGAGGAACACCAGUGGCGAAGGCGACUUUCUGGUCUGUAACUGACGCUGAGGCGCGAAAGCGUGGGGAGCAAACAGGAUUAGAAACCCCGGUAGUCC